rnacentral:lncRNA from 1 species
ACAGGACUUUAAAGAAUGCUGACAUCUUUGUGGCUGAAAUUAAUUGGAAAUUUUAAAAAAUCCGUCCUGGAAUUUGGCACAUGUAUGGGAUAUGGAUAGAAAAUAAGAGCAAAGAGGAAUUCAAGAUAAUGAGGCAAUAUAAACAAAAGUUGAAAAGAGAAAAUGAGCAUGCAGUGCCUAGAGAUGCCAAGGAAUCCAGAUCACUGAGGUCGGAUAGAUGUGUCUUUCCAGAAUUUGAUGAGGUUAACCAGGUAGAGCCAGAUGGUAGAGAUCCUUGAAUACCAGGCAAGGGAGUUCAUCUCUCCACCUGUAAGCAUGAAGGAGCCACGGGAGAUUUUGCAAAGGGAAUGACCAAAACGAAAAUGGCAUUUAGGAAAUGAGUUUGCCAGAAGUACCUGGGAGAAAUGGGGACUAGGCACUGAGAAUGUAAUU